rnacentral:lncRNA from 1 species
UCAUAUUUUUGGAAAACUUAUUCCAAGUGUUUAGAUCAUCGUCUCUAAACACACGUAAUUUAGAUCAUCGUCUCUAGACUACACACCAUCAAGACACAACAAAUGGAUGCAUGAAAAUGCACAUACCAAUCAUAUGGUUUACCUCAAUUACAUCAUCAUUAAAUUGGAUAAUAUAAUCCAAACAUUCUAAAUCACCACAUUUAGAAUACAACAUUAUUAAUAAUUUGCUAUUAAGCAACAACUUCAUCCCACACCUGUAAAUACAUUCACAUCAUAAAUAUAUUCACAUAAAGUACAUAACAUCACAUACUAACAUCAUCAUUUAAUUCCUAACUCAUUUGAUUUCACAAAACUUAUUUAUUUUCAAAAUAAUGCUACUAACAUAAGCACACACUAAUAAGUGUACAUCUUUUCGGAAAAAUAUCCCCGGAAUCGAAAUCUACGUGAAAAACUGAGAAAAAUAGGUUCUGACCAAAAAAGUAGACAAAAAGUCAAUGGUCAGAGUCAACAAGUAGCGUCGGCCAUAGCGUAAGCCAGAAUGCGUCGCAAAACACUAUUCAUGCUGCAGAAUGCAGAAACGUGUUUUUGGCUCGGAUUUGGCUCCAAAAGCACUUAUAAGCCUCGAAAAUCACUUAUUUAAGCCCAGAAAUUCAUGUCAAACAAUUACCACACUUAUAACAUGAUUAAAACAACUUAAAUCAACUUAAAUCAUAAAAAACAACCCAUUAAUUCAUGGAUUCUCAUCAUUUUACAUAAACCCACAAAUUUAUCAAAGACAACAAUCAACAUACAAAGGAAUCAUUUUUGCCAUAGCAAAACAUCAUUCAAGUAUGGGUAAACAUCUACAAUCAUGCAACAAUUCAUAAAACUUGAAUUUAAACAAAUUCCCAUAAACCCUUACAAACCCCCACCUAGAGAUAAAGAGAAUUUGGGCUGGAGAAGAAUCGCUUCUCCCCUCUCCUUAACAUAUCUCUAAUGAUUAUGAUUCUAACCUCUUACCUUAGCAAAAACGGAGAAAUAAUGAUUCAUCUUCAAGUUCCCAAGCUUUUCCUCUCCUCUUUGUUCUUCCUAAGGUACCUUCCAUCAUGUAGGUGAAAUUGCAAGUGGAUUUAGAGCUAAGAAUGAGUGGGAGUGGUUGGUGAAAGAAUGAAUAGGUUGGUGCUAGUUGGCGUGUGAAGAAGGAGGAAAAUUUAGCUUUCUGACUUCAUAUCUCAGGAAGUGAAAAAUGAAUCAUAUGGCUUAUAAUGAGAGUGUGGGUCUCACUUUGGUUCUUUCUUUGUUUUUAAGUAAUAAUAUGUGGUUCACAUUACACAUGGUAUCUUACUUAUGUGAU